UAGGGUGUAUGCAGCCCUCGACGCGGGGAGUUAACAUUUAGGGUAACCCCGCCUGCAAGACUGGGAUAACUCCGGCAAACCGGGGCUAAUACCGGAUGGUGUUUGAACCGCAUGGUUCAAACAUAAAAGGGGGCUUCGGCUACCACUUACAGAGGGACCCGCGGGGCAUUAGCUAUAUGGGGAGGGAACGGGUCACCACGGGGACGAUGCGCAUCCGACCUGAGAGGGGGAUCGCCCACACUGUGACAGAGACACGCGCCACACUCCUACGGGAGGCGCCAGUAGGGAAUCUUCCGCAAUGGACAAAAGUCUGAGAGAGAAACGCCGCGUGAGAGAGGAAGGUUUUCGGAUCGCAAAGCUCUGUUGUUAGGGAAAAAAACGUACCGUUCGAAUAGGGCGGGACCUCGAUGUUUUUUUUUCCACAAAGCCACGGGUAUGGGGGGGGGGGAGCACCACCCGCCCCCACGUAUGUGGGAAGCGUUGUCCGGAAUUAUUGGGCGCAAAGGGCUCGCAGGCGGGUUCUUAAGUCUGAUGUGAAAGACCCCGCCUCUCCCGCGUAGGGUCCUCGUAUACUGUGGAACUUUAGAGCAGCAGAAGAAGAGAGUACAUCCCCGUGUACGCGGAAAUGCGCAUAGAUGGUGUAGGAACACCACUGGCGGAAG
rnacentral:rRNA from 1 species